GGGAAUUUGGACAAUGGGGGCAACCCUGAUCCAGCCAUUCCGCGUGAGUGAAGAAGGCCUUCGGGUUGUAAAGCUCUUUCAGCUGGAGUGAAACGGUGAGCUCUAACAUAGCUUGCUAAUGACGGUACCAGCAGAAGAAGCACCGGCUAACUACGUGCCAGCAGCCGCGGUAAUACGUAGGGUGCGAGCGUUAAUCGGAAUUACUGGGCGUAAAGCGUGCGCAGGCGGAUUGUUAAGCAAGACGUGAAAUCCCCGGGCUUAACCUGGGAAUGGCGUUUUGAACUGGCAGUCUAGAGUGCGUCAGAGGGGGGUGGAAUUCCACGGGUAGCAGUGAAAUGCGUAGAGAUGUGGAGGAACACCGAUGGCGAAGGCAGCCCCCUGGGAUGACACUGACGCUCAUGUACGAAAGCGUGGGUAGCAAACAGGAUUAGAUACCCUGGUAGUCCACGCCCUAAACGAUGUCAACUGGUUGUUGGGGGAGUGAAAUCCCUUAGUAACGAAGCUAACGCGUGAAGUUGACCGCCUGGGGAGUACGGUCGCAAGAUUAAAACUCAAAGGAAUUGACGGGGACCCGCACAAGCGGUGGAUGAUGUGGAUUAAUUCGAUGCAACGCGAAAAACCUUACCUACCCUUGACAUGUCCAGAACCCUGAAGAGAUUUGGGGGUGCCCGAAAGGGAAUUGGAACACAGGUGCUGCAUGGCUGUCGUCAGCUCGUGUCGUAGAUUGGGUUAAG
rnacentral:rRNA from 1 species